GGGAUAUCUCUCAAGGUGAAACUCACAUAGGUCAAUUAGCUAAUGUUGCAUCCCUCUUGAUAGUACGGCAUACCUAUACUCAAGGGUAAAUAUAAAUACCAUAACAUUCACUUGAGCUUGUAAGUCUUCAUUCUUGCCAUACUUUGAUCUUUAGAUACUUGAGAGCUUUCAACCUAACCUUCAACUUGAGCUUGUGACUUAAGAUUCUCUUUUGUCCAUGAUAAAGUAUGCUUGAAUUUUUAAGCCACUCCAUUUUACCAACCAUAAUAGAUUCAACUCAAUGCAUUGCUUCCCUCGGUAAGGCCUAGAAAUGAUACCUCAAAACCCCCCGGAUACUAGCCACUUCACCCUAGCAAAACUUCC
rnacentral:lncRNA from 1 species